rnacentral:rRNA from 1 species
AGUUUGAUCCUGGCUCAGAUUGAACGCUGGCGGCAGGCCUAACACAUGCAAGUCGAGCGGAUGAAGAGAGCUUGCUCUCUGAUUCAGCGGCGGACGGGUGAGUAAUGCCUAGGAAUCUGCCUAGUAGUGGGGGACAACGUUUCGAAAGGAACGCUAAUACCGCAUACGUCCUACGGGAGAAAGUGGGGGAUCUUCGGACCUCACGCUAUUAGAUGAGCCUAGGUCGGAUUAGCUAGUUGGUAGGGUAACGGCCUACCAAGGCGACGAUCCGUAACUGGUCUGAGAGGAUGAUCAGUCACACUGGGACUGAGACACGGCCCAGACUCCUACGGGAGGCAGCAGUGGGGAAUAUUGGACAAUGGGCGCAAGCCUGAUCCAGCCAUGCCGCGUGAGUGAUGAAGGCCCUAGGGUUGUAAAGCUCUUUCAGUGGGGACGAUAAUGACGGUACCGGGAGAAUAAGCUCCGGCUAACUCCGUGCCAGCAGCCGCGGUAA